rnacentral:rRNA from 1 species
UACGGAGGGUGCAAGCGUUAUCCGGAUUUACUGGGUUUAAAGGGUGUGUAGGCGGACUUUUAAGUCAGCGGUGAAAUCUCCGGGCUCAACCCGGAAACUGCCAUUGAUACUAUAGGUCUUGAAUGUUGUUGAGGUGGGCGGAACGGUCAUGUAGCGGUGGAAAUGCAUAGAUAUUGACCCGGAACACCGAAUUGCGAAGGCAGCACUCUGGGACGUGACUGA